CUUAUUCUUCUUGGUCUCUGACAUCAUAUUACCAUUUUGCCCCUGUUGAAUGGAUGGACUCAAUCCGUCAUUUGCGACCGCCGAACACACCACACCGGAGUGUUGUGCCGCCGUCCCGUCGUGAACAGCAGGGGAACAGCGGCGGCGUUCCUCUCAGCGGUAACGUCCCCCGUGUGCUCCGCCCCUCCGCCCCUCCAUUUUCUUGAGUUGAAUGCGAGGUUUCUUGAUUGCAUAAACCCUAGUUUCGAAGUGAGGGUUCGGUUCGCUCCACGUCCCGCCGCCUCCACGCACCCACUUGCAGAUGCAGCUGCUCCUGCGCUGUGGCUCUCUCCUCCGUCUCUACGAGUGUAGCGGUGGGCUUCCAAGAACAAAUUACAGUUGUAGAAAAUUAGUGCUUCCAAUACUAAACGUGAUGAGUGAGAGGACGCGGAUUACCUAUUCACGUAGAGCUGUCUCUAAGAACAGUGAGAUCAAGAAAGAUGAACAAACAGUCAUAGAAAAGGAAGAUGACACUGAAAGCACAUUGGAGAUAGAGCGAAUCAGAGGUGACCCUAGUAUGCUCCAAUCCAUGACAGUGAAAGAACUCAAGGAACUCACAAGGACGAUGGGAGUUGCUGCGAGAGGUAACAAGAAAGAUUUGGUAUCAGCUCUGAUGGAAUCUCUGGGUGAGGAAGUAAUUGGUAAAGAGGGAGCAUCAACCAUUGAGCAGAUUGGCCCAUCAGAAGUACCUUCAAAAAGAAAAGGUGCCGCUUCAGUAGUGGUUGAACAAAAGCUAGAAACUUCUGAAGUUAUUUCCGCAACUCCUAGCAAGAGAAGUAGAACCAAGCAGAAAUCAAUUAAGGGCACCACUCCGGAGGAGAACCCUGUGACUACUGUCAAGAUAAAUAAAACAUCACACAAGAAGGAAACAGUUGUUGCCAAUGGUGCUAUUGCAAAGGCGGGGUUGGGUCUUAAUGUGGAUGGUGCAGAGCCUUGGACUGUACUUGUACACAAGAAGCCACAGGCUGAGUGGAUUCCAUACAAUCCUAAGGUCAUGAGGCCUCCACCCCUUAGCAAGGAUACAAGGGCACUAAAGAUUCUAUCAUGGAAUGUCAAUGGACUGAAAGCUCUAGUAAAAAAUAGGGGCUUCUCCGUUCAUGAGUUAGCACAGAGGGAGGAUUUUGAUGUGCUAUGCCUGCAAGAAACGAAAAUUCAGGAGAAAGAUGUUGACGUCAUCAAGGAAAGUCUACUUGAAGGGUAUACCAAUAGUUUCUGGACAUGUAGUGUGUCAAAGCUUGGAUAUUCAGGGACUGCCAUAAUUUCACGGGUGAAACCACUUUCUAUCAAGUAUGGGCUUGGUGUACCAGACCAUGAUACAGAAGGGAGGAUUGUGACAGUGGAAUUUGAUGAUUUUUACUUGCUAACCGCUUAUGUGCCAAAUUCCGGUGAUGGUCUCAAAAGAUUGACUUACAGAGUCACAGAGUGGGAUCCAUGCCUUGGUAACUACAUGAAAGAAUUGGAAAAAUCGAAACCUGUCAUACUAACUGGUGAUCUUAACUGUGCGCAUCAGGAGAUUGAUAUACAUGAUCCUGCUGGAAAUAGUAGAAGUGCCGGCUUCACAAAAGAAGAAAGGAAAUCGUUCGAGACUAAUUUUCUGUCCAAAGGGUUCGUGGAUACGUUUCGGAAACAGCACCCUGAUGUUGUUGGAUAUAGCUACUGGGGUUAUAGGCAUAAUUGCCGGAAGACUAAUAGAGGUUGGCGCCUGGAUUACUUUCUUGUGUCGGAGUCCAUCGCGGAAAGAGUCCACGAUUCAUACAUCCUUCCCGACGUUUCUGCCAGUGACCACAGCCCGCUCGGCCUCAUACUGAAGCUCUAAGCGAGCCCCGGCCUCAUGCGAAACUUGCAAUCUAACUUCUGGGGUUGGUUUGCAGCGUUGCCUGUUCCGGUUUGCGCAGAUGAUUUUGCGUCAGUGAAACAGUAGGUAGUACUUCAAUGGAUAUUGGCUGGUGGUCAUUGUACCAAUCCAGGGUUGUAGCGUUAUGGUUCAGCAUGAGCCUUUUGGGGAAAUACCUGUCCCGGCUAUGUGUUCCGGCUGACCUUUCAGACUUAACAUGAAACUGUUCCUCCGAUAGUCUGGGUCAGAUAUGCUGUGCUGUAUUGUUCGAAGCAAUUUUCUCAAGACUAAAACCUGUAGAGUAUAGACUACAGAGUGCCUAUCAGAUAAGUGUGGAACAUGCGUUAAAACAAGAGUCUAUUCAGGAAGAAGAAAUCUACGGUAGAG
rnacentral:rRNA from 1 species